CUCCUACGGGAGGCUGCAGUGGGGAAUCUUGUGCAAUGGGCGAAAGCCUGACACAGCAACGCCGCGUGCGGGAAGAAGGCCCUCGGGUCGUAAACCGCUUUCAGCAGGAACGAAAAUGACGGUACCUGCAGAAGAAGAUGCGGCCAACUACGUGCCAGCAGCCGCGGUGACACGUAGGCAUCAAGCGUUGUCCGGAUUUAUUGGGCGUAAAGAGCUCGUAGGCGGUUCAGCAAGUCGGGUGUGAAAACUCUGGGCUUAACCCAGAGCCUGCACUCGAAACUGCUGUGACUAGAGUUCGGUAGGGGAGCGGGGAAUUCCUAGUGUAGCGGUGAAAUGCGCAGAUAUUAGGAGGAACACCGGUGGCGAAGGCGCCGCUCUGGGCCGACACUGACGCCGAGGAGCGAAAGCGUGGGUAGCAAACAGGAUUAGAUACCCCAGUAGUC
rnacentral:rRNA from 1 species